UACGAAGGGGGCUAGCGUUGUUCGGAAUUACUGGGCGUAAAGCGCACGUAGGCGGGCUCGUAAGUAGGAGGUGAAAUCCCAAGGCUCAACCUUGGAAUUGCCUUCUAGACUGCAAGUCUGGAGGUCAGGAGAGGCGAGUGGAAUACCGAGUGUAGAGGUGAAAUUCGUAGAUAUUCGGUGGAACACCAGUGGCGAAGGCGACUCGCUGGACUGAUACUGACGCUGAGGUGCGAAAGCGUGGGGAGCAAACAGG
rnacentral:rRNA from 1 species